UUCAGCUUUUUUAUACUGCAAAACAAAGACUUCAGCAUUUUGGUGUGAAGGUUUAGCAAAUUAUGUAAAAACUCAGCUAGUUAAAUUCACUAGAAAAUUACAUAGUGCAGGAGGAAAACUUUAGCAGGUUUGUCCUGAAAUUUUUACAAAUGAACUAAACAACUUCAGCAUCUUCUGCUAAAAUUUCGGAAAAAGCUCACGACAAAACUAUUGAAUCCAGGACAAAAUUUCAGCAUAUUUUAGUGUUGAAGUAUUAGCAAAUGAACUAAAAAACUUCAGCUUGUUUAUACUGUAAGACAAAGACUUCAGCAUUUUGGUGUGAAGGUUUAGAAAAUUAAAUAAAAAGUCAGCUAGUUAAAUUCACUAGAAAAUUACAUAGUGCGGGAGGAAAACUUAGCAGGUUUGUCCUGAAGUUUUUACAAAUGAACUAAACAACUUCAGCAUCUUCUGCUGAAGUUCGGAAAAGACUCAUGACAAAACUAUUAAAUCCAGGACAAAACUUCAGCAU
rnacentral:lncRNA from 1 species